CAGCAGCCGCGGUAAUACGAAGGGGGCUAGCGUUACUCGGAAUUACUGGGCGCAAAGGGCGCGUAGGCGGCACGAUUAGUCAGGCGUGAAAUUCCUGGGCUCAACCUGGGGACUGCGCUUGAUACGGUCGAGCUAGAGGAUGGAAGAGGGUUGUGGAAUUCCCAGUGUAGAGGUGAAAUUCGUAGAUAUUGGGAAGAACACCGGUGGCGAAGGCGGCAACCUGGUCCAUUACUGACGCUGAGGCGCGACAGCGUGGGGAGCAAACAGGAUUAGAUACCCCCGUAGUCCCUGUCUCUUAUAU
rnacentral:rRNA from 1 species